rnacentral:rRNA from 1 species
AACGAACGCUGGCGGCAUGCCUAACACAUGCAAGUCGAACGGAACCUUCGGGUCUAUUGGCGCACGUGGGGGGGACGCGGGGGGAGCUGCCCGUGAGUUCGGAAGAACUGCCCGAAGGGGGUCCUAAUACCGGAUAAUGUCUUCGCACCAAAGAUUUAUCGCCGUUGGAUGGGCGCGCGUUGGAUUAGCUAGUUGGUAGGGUAAAAGCGUACCAAGGAGACGUUGCUUAGCUGGUGUGAGAGGAUGAUCCGCCACACUGGAGCUACGACCCGGACCAGAAUCGUACGCAAGGGAGGAGAGGGGAAUACAGGACAAUGGGGGAAAGCAUGAUAAAGCAAUGUCGGGUGAGUGAUGAAGGCGUUAGGGUUGUACAGCUGUUUUACACGGGGUGAUAAUGACAGUACCGGGAGAAUAAGCUCCGGCUAACUACGUG